CCCUCCCUCUGGCGGCAUGCCUAACACAUGCAAGUCGAACGAUUGCCUUCGGGUGAUAGUGGCGCACGGGUGCGUAACGCGUGGGAAUCUGCCCUUAGGUUCGGAAUAACAGCUGGAAACGGCUGCUAAUACCGGAUGAUAUCGCGAGAUCAAAGAUUUAUCGCCUGAGGAUGAGCCCGCGUUGGAUUAGGUAGUUGGUGGGGUAAAGGCCUACCAAGCCGACGAUCCAUAGCUGGUCUGAGAGGAUGAUCAGCCACACUGGGACUGAGACACGGCCCAGACUCCUACGGGAGGCAGCAGUGGGGAAUAUUGGACAAUGGGCGCAAGCCUGAUCCAGCAAUGCCGCGUGAGUGAUGAAGGCCCUAGGGUUGUAAAGCUCUUUUACCCGGGAAGAUAAUGACGGUACCGGGAGAAUAAGCCCCGGCUAACUCCGUG
rnacentral:rRNA from 1 species